rnacentral:rRNA from 1 species
UACGUAGGUGGCAAGCGUUGUCCCGAUUUACUGGGCGUAAAGAGCGCGCAGGCGGUCGUUCAAGUCGCGUGUGAAAGCCCCCGGCUCAACUGGGGAGGGUCACGCGAUACUGAUCGACUCGAAGGCAGGAGAGGGUAGUGGAAUUCCCGGUGUAGUGGUGAAAUGCGCAGAUAUCAGGAGGAACACCGGUGGCGAAGGCGGGUCUCUGGGCCGUAACUGACGCUGAGGAGCGAAAGCGUGGGGAGCGAACAGG